GCAAUGCGGCGUGCUUACCAUGCAGUCGAACGAUGAAGCCCUUCGGGGUGGAUUAGUGGCGAACGGGUGAGUAACACGUGGGCAAUCUGCCCUUCACUCUGGGACAAGCCCUGGAAACGGGGUCUAAUACCGGAUAACACUCUGUCCUGCAUGGGACGGGGUUGAAAGCUCCGGCGGUGAAGGAUGAGCCCGCGGCCUAUCAGCUUGUUGGUGGGGUGAUGGCCUACCAAGGCGACGACGGGUAGCCGGCCUGAGAGGGCGACCGGCCACACUGGGACUGAGACACGGCCCAGACUCCUACGGGAGGCAGCAGUGGGGAAUAUUGCACAAUGGGCGAAAGCCUGAUGCAGCGACGCCGCGUGAGGGAUGACGGCCUUCGGGUUGUAAACCUCUUUCAGCAGGGAAGAAGCGAAAGUGACGGUACCUGCAGAAGAAGCGCCGGCUAACUACGUGCCAGCAGCCGCGGUAAUACGUAGGGCGCAAGCGUUGUCCGGAAUUAUUGGGCGUAAAGAGCUCGUAGGCGGCUUGUCACGUCGGAUGUGAAAGCCCGGGGCUUAACCCCGGGUCUGCAUUCGAUACGGGCAGGCUAGAGUGUGGUAGGGGAGAUCGGAAUUCCUGGUGUAGCGGUGAAAUGCGCAGAUAUCAGGAGGAACACCGGUGGCGAAGGCGGAUCUCUGGGCCAUUACUGACGCUGAGGAGCGAAAGCGUGGGGAGCGAACAGGAUUAGAUACCCUGGUAGUCCACGCCGUAAACGUUGGGAACUAGGUGUUGGCGACAUUCCACGUCGUCGGUGCCGCAGCUAACGCAUUAAGUUCCCCGCCUGGGGAGUACGGCCGCAAGGCUAAAACUCAAAGGAAUUGACGGGGGCCCGCACAAGCAGCGGAGCAUGUGGCUUAAUUCGACGCAACGCGAAGAACCUUUACCAAGGCUUGACAUAUACCGGAAAGCAUCAGAAUGGUUGCCCCCCUUGUGACGGUAUACAGGUGAGUGCAUGGUUGUCGUCACUCGUCGUCUGAAAUGAUGGGUUGAGUCUCUACAGUAG
rnacentral:rRNA from 1 species